AUUCGCCCUUAGAGUUUGAUCCUGGCUCAAGACGAACGCUGGCGGCGUGCCUAACACAUGCAAGUCGAGCGGAGACAGUGAGUAGCUUGCUAUGAGCUGUUUUAGCGGCGGACGGGUGAGUAACGCGUGAGCAACCUUUCCCAGACAGGGGAAUAACACACCGAAGGGUGUACUAAUACCGCAUAAGACCACGGGAUCACAUGGUUCUGAGGUAAAAGAUUUAUCGGUUUGGGGUGGGCUCGCGUCCGAUUAGGUAGUUGGUGAGGUAACGGCCCACCAAGCCGACGAUCGGUAGCCGACCUGAGAGGGUGAUCGGCCACAUUGGGACUGAGACACGGCCCAAACUCCUACGGGAGGCAGCAGUGGGGAAUAUUGGGCAAUGGAGGAAACUCUGACCCAGCAACGCCGCGUGGAGGAAGAAGGUUUUCGGAUCGUAAACUCCUGUCCUUGGAGACGAGUAGAAGACGGUAUCCAAGGAGGAAGCCCCGGCUAACUACGUGCCAGCAGCCGCGGUAAUACGUAGGGGGCAAGCGUUGUCCGGAAUAAUUGGGCGUAAAGGGCGCGUAGGCGGCUCGGUAAGUCUGGAGUGAAAGUCCUGCUUUUAAGGUGGGAAUUGCUUUGGAUACUGUCGGGCUUGAGUGCAGGAGAGGUUAGUGGAAUUCCCAGUGUAGCGGUGAAAUGCGUAGAGAUUGGGAGGAACACCAGUGGCGAAGGCGACUAACUGGACUGUAACUGACGCUGAGGCGCGAAAGUGUGGGGAGCAAACAAGAUUAGAUACCCUGGUAGUCCACACUGUAAACGA
rnacentral:rRNA from 1 species